UCUCCCUUCAAAUCUGCAUAGAAUUAAAUGUCUACAUCAAAACUGUAAUUAGGGGUAUUUUAGGCAUCUGAAAAAUGCAAAAUGUGUAAAGGCAAACAAAAUUAAUGAAUCUGCUUAUGUGGAGCCUAGUCAUUGGGUUUUAUUCAAAUAAAAAGACUAUGUCGGGUUUUAUGUAAAGAAACUUGAGUUUCAGGGGCUAAAGUUAUAUUUUCAGU
rnacentral:lncRNA from 1 species